GACGAACGCUGGCGGCGUGCUUAACACAUGCCAGUCGAACGGAAAGGCCCUGCUUUUGUGGGGUGCUCGAGUGGCGAACGGGUGAGUAACACGUGAGUAACCUGCCCUUGACUUUGGGAUAACUUCAGGAAACUGGGGCUAAUACCGGAUAGGAGCUCCUGCUGCAUGGUGGGGGUUGGAAAGUUUCGGCGGUUGGGGAUGGACUCGCGGCUUAUCAGGUUGUUGGUGGGGUAGUGGCUUACCAAGGCUUUGACGGGUAGCCGGCCUGAGAGGGUGACCGGCCACAUUGGGACUGAGAUACGGCCCAGACUCCUACGGGAGGCAGCAGUGGGGAAUAUUGCACAAUGGGCGGAAGCCUGAUGCAGCAACGCCGCGUGCGGGAUGACGGCCUUCGGGUUGUAAACCGCUUUCGCCUGUGACGAAGCGUGAGUGACGGUAAUGGGUAAAGAAGCACCGGCUAACUACGUG
rnacentral:rRNA from 1 species